UCUCUAAGACAACGCCUAUGUACCAUUUCUUCAAAUGUCUAUAUCUCUGCUCGUGGACACUACAUUUUGUUGUAAAAAAAAAAAAAAAAAAAAUAGAAGGGAUUGAGUAUCCCUUUUGAAAAUUUUAUCAUCGUUUCUAGACAGUAAUAGAAAGGUUUCUACGAAGUUACAACAAAAUGUAGUGUCCACGAGCAGAGAUAUAGACAUUUAAAGAAGUAGUAUAUAGGCAUUGUCUUAGAGAAAAAAAAAUAAAAAAAAAUAGAAGGGAUUGAGUAUCCCUUUUGAAAUUUUUAUCAUCGUUUCUAGACAGUAAUAGAGAGGUUUCUACGAAGUUACAACAAAAUGUAGUGUCCACGAGCAGAGAUAUAGACAUUUGAAGAAGUAGUAUAUAGGCAUUGUCUUAGAGAAAAAAAAAUAAAAAAAAUAGAAGGGAUUGAGUAUCCCUUUUGAAACUUUUAUCAUCGUUUCUAGACAGUAAUAGAAAGGUUUCUACGAAGUUACAACAAAAUGUAGUGUCCACGAGCAGAGAUAUAGACAUUUGAAGAAGUAGUAUAUAGGCAUUGUCUUAGAGAAAAAAAAAAAAUAAAAAAAAAUAGAAGGGAUUGAGUAUCCCUUUUGAAAUUUUUAUCAUCGUUUCUAGAUAGUAACAGAAAGGUUUCUGCGAAGUUACAACAAAAUGUAGUGUCCACGAGCACAGAUAUAGACAUUUGAAGAAAUGGUACAUAGGCGUUGUCGUAGAGAAA
rnacentral:misc_RNA from 1 species